UGGGGUUUCGAAGGGUCUUAACGUGAAAUUGCGAGCGUAAUGCCCUGUUAAACCCCACA
rnacentral:pre_miRNA from 1 species